CCUACGGGAGCAGCAGUGAGGAAUAUUGGUCAAUGGGCGCAAGCCUGAACCAGCCAUGCCGCGUGCAGGAUGACGGUCCUAUGGAUUGUAAACUGCUUUUAUACGGGAAGAAACCCUCCUACGUGUAGGAGCUUGACGGUACCGUAAGAAUAAGGAUCGGCUAACUCCGUGCCAGCAGCCGCGGUAAUACGGAGGAUCCAAGCGUUAUCCGGAAUCAUUGGGUUUAAAGGGUCUGUAGGCGGUCUUGUAAGUCAGUGGUGAAAGCCCAUCGCUCAACGGUGGAACGGCCAUUGAUACUGUUGGACUUGAAUUAUUGGGAAGCAACUAGAAUAUGUAGUGUAGCGGUGAAAUGCUUAGAGAUUACAUGGAAUACCAAUUGCGAAGGCAGGUUGCUACCAAUGGAUUGACGCUGAUGGACGAAAGCGUGGGUAGCGAACAGGAUUAGAUACCCUGGUAGUCCACGCCGUAAACGAUGGAUACUAGCUGUUGGGCGCAAGUUCAGUGGCUAAGCGAAAGUGAUAAGUUCCCACCUGGGGAGA
rnacentral:rRNA from 1 species